UAAUACAUGCAAGUCGUACGCUUCUUUUUCCACCGGAGCUUGCUCCACCGGAAAAAGAAGAGUGGCGAACGGGUGAGUAACACGUGGGUAACCUGCCCAUCAGAAGGGGAUAACACUUGGAAACAGGUGCUAAUACCGUAUAACAAUCGAAACCGCAUGGUUUUGAUUUGAAAGGCGCUUUCGGGUGUCGCUGAUGGAUGGACCCGCGGUGCAUUAGCUAGUUGGUGAGGUAACGGCUCACCAAGGCCACGAUGCAUAGCCGACCUGAGAGGGUGAUCGGCCACAUUGGGACUGAGACACGGCCCAAACUCCUACGGGAGGCAGCAGUAGGGAAUCUUCGGCAAUGGACGAAAGUCUGACCGAGCAACGCCGCGUGAGUGAAGAAGGUUUUCGGAUCGUAAAACUCUGUUGUUAGAGAAGAACAAGGAUGAGAGUAACUGUUCAUCCCUUGACGGUAUCUAACCAGAAAGCCACGGCUAACUACGUGCCAGCAGCCGCGGUAAUACGUAGGUGGCAAGCGUUGUCCGGAUUUAUUGGGCGUAAAGCGAGCGCAGGCGGUUUCUUAAGUCUGAUGUGAAAGCCCCCGGCUCAACCGGGGAGGGUCAUUGGAAACUGGGAGACUUGAGUGCAGAAGAGGAGAGUGGAAUUCCAUGUGUAGCGGUGAAAUGCGUAGAUAUAUGGAGGAACACCAGUGGCGAAGGCGGCUCUCUGGUCUGUAACUGACGCUGAGGC
rnacentral:rRNA from 1 species